ensembl:lncRNA novel transcript, antisense to RECQL4
CCCAGGGAAAAAGGGACAUGUGGCCAACAGCCCUGAUUCUCCAACCUCGUCUCCAACUGGGCAGGGCGUGCUUACCUGUGGGCCAGGGCCUGGAGCUGGGCAGGGCCCCCAGGGCAGUUCAGACGGCAAUGGGUAUAGGUGGUCGCCAGCAGCUCCAGCCAGUGGUGUGGGUGCAGCUCCAGGUAGCACAGCAAAGUCUCGAUGGCUGGGGGCAGAGCAGGGCUCAGCGGACGCGGGGACAGCCCCUCCACACCCCUGUGGCUUACCCCAGGUUCGGAGGAGCGCAGCGAUCCGCUCUGUGUCCUCGCGCCGGUUGCAGUAAAUGAUAAUGGAAUCGA